UCCUCUAUUCCUCGGACAAGAGAUGUUCGUCGAUCUCUUUGGAGACUUCGACACAGAACUGGAGGAGAGUUUCAGGAUGGGCAACCUCGUUGCUAAUUUUCUCAUACUCAAGGUGCCAGUGCACAAUACUCCCUGGCCCUCCUUGCUUUGGGGUCACCUGGAUGGUGAGCAAGAAGCUUUUGUAUUCUUUCAUCAGAUCACCUUCUAUAACUCUAAAAGUGAUCAAGUUUUUUUCUGGCUCCACCGCCUCGAUCCUCUCCUUUGCUACCUUUGGCUCCCCAUCUAUAACAAUUUUUAAUAUUAAUGAUAUUUUAACUUUUAGACUAAAACAUACAUAUUUUUUAAUGAAUAAAGUGGUUUUCAUUUGUUAAUCGAAACCUAAUAUCAGAUGUAAAUUAGGUCACCUAAUCGACUCAUCUCCUUUUGGUCACUCAAAAGUUUUCAAAAUGGUCGCACUCCUAAAAACUUUUAAUUUCUGCUGGAUUUUUAAGAUUUGGAUUUUGAUUAUGUUCUUUAUAAAACGAUUUUACCUAAAAAAUAUAUGCUCGAACGAUUAUAAUGGUUCACCCUCAACCUAAUCAAUGUGCUGCCUUCUCGUCAAAGUUACAUGGUGAAUGAAGGAGAUGAUUAAGACUACAAAUCUAUGAAAAAGUUUAUAUAAUAUUAACUUACCAUGAACGUAAUUCCAUAAGAUGAUAGAGCCUACUGUGCCCCAAUCGCCUUCAUGCAGGUCACAGGCUUGAAUGUUACCUGGAGAUGCUUUGGAGACAUGAUGUGGUUUCCCAGUGAACAUGUGAUGGAACUUCUCCGCCGACGCUUUGAUCUCCACGUCUGUCUCAAGCUUCCCCACCAAACUAGAAGCCUCUGUUUGCUUCACCUCUUCUUCAUCGGCUAAGAGAUGUUCGUCGAUCUCUUUGGAGACUUCGACACAGAACUGGAGGAGAGUUUCUGGAUGAGCUACCUCGUUGCUAAUUUUCUCAUACUCAAGGUGCCAGUGCACAAUACUCCCUGGCCCUCCUUGCUUUGGGGUCACCUGGAUCGUGAGCAAGAAGCUUUUGUACUCUUUCAUCAGAUCACCAUCUAUGACCCUGAACGUAAUCAGGUUCUUGUCCGGCUCCACCGCCUCG
rnacentral:lncRNA from 1 species